UCCGAUAUGGUGUAGCGGUAACAUAUGCGCCUCUCAGCGGCGAAUCAUGUGAUUUGAUCACGUGUAGUCCAGCUCGCGCGUGCCCGGGGUUCGACUCCCCGUGUCGGAA